UACGAAGGGGGCUAGCGUUGCUCGGAAUCACUGGGCGUAAAGCGCACGUAGGCGGGUCGAUAAGUCAGGGGUGAAAUCCUGGAGCUCAACUCCAGAACUGCCCUUGAUACUGGAGAUCUCGAGUUCGGGAGAGGUGAGUGGAACUGCGAGUGUAGAGGUGAAAUUCGUAGAUAUUCGCAAGAACACCAGUGGCGAAGGCGGCUCACUGGCCCGAUACUGACGCUGAGGUGCGAAAGCGUGGGGAGCAAACAGG
rnacentral:rRNA from 1 species